GCCCGCGCUCCUCCGGCUCCGCGGCGCCCUCGCCGGGUGCGUGCCGCUUGCACGCCCGCCCGCCCGGCUCUCCGCGCCCGCCGCCCGCGCCCGGCCCCGGCGCCCCGGCCCUGCUGCCCGCGCUUCAUGGCUGCGCACGAAUGGGACUGGUUCCAGCGCGAGGAGCUCAUCGGACAGAUCAGCGACAUCCGAGUCCAGAACCUUCAAGUCAAACCAACCAGAGCCCUUCUGGUUCUUGAGUGAACUUCACGCAACGGCCACUUGCAGCAGAUGUUUGUUGAGUGCCUGCUUGGUGACAGCUGCUCUCCCAGGCUCCAGGGAGAUACAGCCCUCGUCUCUGGUCCAUGGCAGGGUAUCGGUCCCCGCAGUCCCGCCAGGAUAUAAUGAUGACUGUGGUGGCGGACAGUCGUGAGAGUGUCCAACAAGGGAACCCUGCAGCAGGUGCCGUGAAGGGCUUUCAGACAAGCGCCUCUGACCCAUCACUACCGCCAGGCAGGUGUGUGGCACCAUCACCUCGUGCUUUAAAUUUGUAUCUUCCGGGCUUCCCUGGUGGCGCAGUGGUUGAGAAUCUGCCUGCCAAUGCAGGGGACAUGGGUUCGAGCCCUGGUCUGGGAAGAUCCCACAUGCCGCGGAGCAACUGGGCCCGUGAGCCACAACCACUGAGCCUGAGCCUGAGCGUCUGGAGCCUCUGCUCCUCAACAAGAGAGGCCGCGAUAGUGAGAGGCCCGCGCACCGCGAUGAAGAGUGGCCCCCGCUCGCCGCAACUGGAGAAAGCCCUCACACAGAAACG
rnacentral:lncRNA from 1 species